GAUGAACGCUGGCGGCGUGCCUAAUACAUGCAAGUCGAGCGAACAGAUCAGGCGCUUGCUCCUUUGACGUUAGCGGCGGACGGGUGAGUCACACGUGUGUAACCUCCCUAUAAGACUGGUAUAACUUCGGGAAACCGGAGCUAAUACCGGAUAAUAUUUCGAACCGCAUGGUUCGAUAGUGAAAGAUGGUUUUGCUAUCACUUAUAGAUGGACCUGCGCCGUAUUAGCUAGUUGGUAAGGUCACGGCUUACCAAGGCGACGCUACGUAGCCGACCGGAGAGGGUGAUCGGCCACACUGGAAGGGAGACACGGCACAGACGCCUACGGGAGGCAGCAGUAGGGAAUCGGACGCAAUGGGCGAAAGCCUGACGGAGCAACGCCGCGUGAGUGAUGAAGGUCUUCGGAUCGUGAAACUCUGUUAUUAGGGAAGAACAUACGUGUAAGUAACUGUGCACGUCUUGACGGUAACUAAUCAGAAAGCAACGGCUAACUACGUG
rnacentral:rRNA from 1 species